rfam:Candidatus Nomurabacteria bacterium RIFCSPLOWO2_01_FTLL_41_12 rifcsplowo2_01_scaffold_4692, whole genome shotgun sequence.
GGAGGGUUCGCAUAGUGGUCUAGUGCGCCACCUUGGAAAGGUGGUAUGGAGCAAUCCAUCAGGAGUUCGACUCUCCUACCCUCCG